GAUGAACGCUGGCGGCGUGCCUAAUACAUGCAAGUCGAGCGAACGGACGAGAAGCUUGCUUCUCUGAUGUUAGCGGCGGACGGGUGAGUAACACGUGGAUAACCUACCUAUAAGACUGGGAUAACUUCGGGAAACCGGAGCUAAUACCGGAUAAUAUUUUGAACCGCAUGGCUCAAAAGUGAAAGACGGUCUUGCUGUCACUUAUAGAUGGAUCCGCGCUGCAUUAGCUAGUUGGUAAGGUAACGGCUUACCAAGGCAACGAUGCAUAGCCGACCUGAGAGGGUGAUCGGCCACACUGGAACUGAGACACGGUCCAGACUCCUACGGGAGGCAGCAGUAGGGAAUCUUCCGCAAUGGGCGAAAGCCUGACGGAGCAACGCCGCGUGAGUGAUGAAGGUCUUCGGAUCGUAAAACUCUGUUAUUAGGGAAGAACAUAUGUGUAAGUAACUGUGCACAUCUUGACGGUACCUAAUCAGAAAGCCACGGCUAACUACGUGCCAGCAGCCGCGGUAAUACGUAGGUGGCAAGCGUUAUCCGGAAUUAUUGGGCGUAAAGCGCGCGUAGGCGGUUUUUUAAGUCUGAUGUGAAAGCCCACGGCUCAACCGUGGAGGGUCAUUGGAAACUGGAAAACUUGAGUGCAGAAGAGGAAAGUGGAAUUCCAUGUGUAGCGGUGAAAUGCGCAGAGAUAUGGAGGAACACCAGUGGCGAAGGCGACUUUCUGGUCUGUAACUGACGCUGAUGUGCGAAAGCGUGGGGAUCAAACAGGAUUAGAUACCCUGGUAGUCCACGCCGUAAACGAUGAGUGCUAAGUGUUAGGGGGUUUCCGCCCCUUAGUGCUGCAGCUAACGCAUUAAGCACUCCGCCUGGGGAGUACGACCGCAAGGUUGAAACUCAAAGGAAUUGACGGGGACCCGCACAAGCGGUGGAGCAUGUGGUUUAAUUCGAAGCAACGCGAAGAACCUUACCAAAUCCUGACAUCCUUUGACAACUCUAGAGAUAGAGCCUUCCCCUUCGGGGGACAAAGUGACAGGUGGUGCAUGGUUGUCGUCAGCUCGUGUCGUGAGAUGUUGGGUUAAGUCCCGCAACGAGCGCAACCCUUAAGCUUAGUUGCCAUCAUUAAGUUGGGCACUCUAAGUUGACUGCCGGUGACAAACCGGAGGAAGGUGGGGAUGACGUCAAAUCAUCAUGCCCCUUAUGAUUUGGGCUACACACGUGCUACAAUGGACAAUACAAAGGGCAGCGAAACCGCGAGGUCAAGCAAAUCCCAUAAAGUUGUUCUCAGUUCGGAUUGUAGUCUGCAACUCGACUACAUGAAGCUGGAAUCGCUAGUAAUCGUAGAUCAGCAUGCUACGGUGAAUACGUUCCCGGGUCU
rnacentral:rRNA from 1 species